rnacentral:sRNA from 1 species
AUCUUAUUUGCAUUAAGAAAUGUAUGACGAAGAAGCAAAGACGAGAACAGUACCAUAUUGGCAUUCAUAAGGUAAAGAAAUAUUUUGGAAAAAGAAUAGUAAAGGCUCAGAAAAGGUCGGUAAAGGAGGCAACAGCAUUGAAGGUAUGUUCCAGGAGCUGAGAUAUCUCGGAGACAGAUAUCGAAGAAUCCAUGAAUGGUGAAAGAGGGGAAACCGUGCGGUUAAAAUUGUAGUUCAACAGCCACUGAGUACUUUCAACCCAGAGACAACGCAACAGAAUUAUUAAGAUUGACCAAUGCGGGACAUUGAGAGCAAAAGAACAAACGAUGUCCGGAUCCGUUCAUACCAAAUUGAAACAUUUGUUUAAAAAAAAACCCUGUUAUACGCUAACUUGGAUGAAGUGAAAAAAAAAUUGUCAGGAAAAUCAUUGGCAAUGCCUGGAGGAAGGUGCUAAAAGAGAAAUAAAAACAGCAUUGGCUCUACAAGUCCCAUCAUCCCUUAGAACUCCGCACGGCGAAAACGAAAAACACAUCAACGAUGUAAGAAAAGCCAAAAUCAAGGCGGUUCAUGAAUAAUUGCUUAGUUCAUUCAACGUGGAGAAAAAAAAACCUUAUGACGAAGUACCGGUAUUACAAAAAUCUCAAAGCAAAACGGAAACAAAUGAUUCCCGACUUAUCAGACGUAUCACAGGCUAUGGUGCUCCACAUAGCGAAUAACAACAGAUCACGUCCAAAGAUAGUGGGGGAUCAAGUAAAAGCUUCCAUUGACCAAGGAGAAAAUGGCACAAUCCAUAGACCGAAGAUUUAGGAAUCUCGCUUAGUUUGGGUAAACACUCAAAGACUUGGUAAUGAAACAACUUUCUUUCUUGGUGUUUUUUUUAAUUACAAUGGUGAAAAGCUUAAGGUUUCACAGAAAUGUGUCAGAUUUCAAGCAUUUCCUAUUUUUGUUUCAAAGAGGCAUAUUCUAAAAAAUCUAACUCUAAAAAAAUCUGAAAAUCGAAGCCCCCGGAAGCUCUUGGGUUUUACCAAAUUUUCAGUCAAUUUCCUGCAAAAUGAAUUAUGCUACGUCCCAUUUUCCUAGUUGAGAUGAUACAAAAAGAGUUACUUUAAAUACUAGUAUCGUUACCAUCGGAGAAAUUUUCAAAAUAUAUUACAUAUAGUUCUUUAGUGCAUACGGUAUUGUAAAUGUUGCAAGGAAACCUUAAAGCUAAACAAGAUGUAAAUAUUUUAAUUAUCUAUAUUGGUAAUCUCAGUAAAAGAAGAUAUUACGAU